rnacentral:rRNA from 1 species
UACGUAGGGGGCAAGCGUUGUCCGGAAUCAUUGGGCGUAAAGAGCGUGUAGGCGGUCCGAUAAGUCCGCUCUGAAAGCCCGGGGCUCAACCCCGGGAGGCGGGCGGAUACUGUCGGGCUAGAGUCCGGAAGAGGCAAGUGGAAUUCCUGGUGUAGCGGUGAAAUGCGCAGAUAUCAGGAGGAACACCGAUGACGAAGGCAGGUCUCUGGGCCACUACUGACGCUGAGAAGCGAAAGCAUGGGGAGCGAACAGG